CCGCAAGCCACGCGAUCUGCUUCCCCGGGAGGUGACGAUGGCAGUGACCGAAUCCAAACACAGAAAACCACCCCAACUCGGGGGAAGUGCUUGAUUUCCCACGGAAAGCUGCAGCUGCAGCAGAUCGUCCCCUCGCUGGCUCCAGCCCAGGCUGGAGCAGCAGCUGGGGCUCUGCAGCAGAUGAGCUCGAGGAGGAGGAGGAGGAGACAGACAGCAGGUCCCUGGUGCCACAUGAAUCCAGAUUGGGGUCUAGUAACACAGUUUCUAAGAGAGACCCAUUGACUGUAUGGAUUUUAAUUGCUGUCUUAAUCCUGUAUGAUUUUAAGUCAUUGGUUCCUGUUCCUGCAAUCACAUGGAGGCAGAUGGAUCCUUGCUCCCUCUUAGAACUAAGGGUUUGCCCACCUGGAGCCAACUGCAAGUUCAGGAUCUUAAUCCGUAUUUGUUUGAUUGUAGGAUCUCGCACUCUAGUUGCCCAGUUAUGAUUUUUAUUACAGAAACACCUAGAGCUCCAGCUGCGAUCGGGCCCUUGUUGUGCUGGGGGAUAUACAGGUGCAUAGUUCCUGCCCUGAAGAGCGUGCAAUCGAGCAGACAAGUCAGCGAGAAGGACUGUUACAAUUUGACAGAUGGGGGAGAUGCCAAAGAUGUCCAUUUCCAGCCCUAGGUGCCCUCCACUCGCAAAACCAGAACAGGCGGGUUAACGGGAGUGGAGGAAACCCCAAACCAGCUCAGCUAAGACCUGGCCUUGCUGAUCAGUCUGGGCAGGAGCAGCGCCUAGACGAGGAGAGAGGCCAAGGGCGGGCACAUAAAUACCCUCCUUGCAUAAACCGCUGCUUCAAGGUCUCGGAGCAAACCAGGGGCCCAAGCCUCAGUGAACUCGCUAGCUGGCACUAAAGAUGUUUCCAGCAUGGUGCAUAAUCUGUAACCUCUGAGGGCCUGCUCCCGCUGAAGUCCAGGGGUAUUUUGCCUGCGAUUUCAAUGGAAGCAGAAUCGGGCCCUGAGGAUCUAUCCCCAGAACGGGGGGAAAUAAAAUUCUGAACAAUUUAAAAAAAACCCACCCACACAAGCACAUUGAGGCUGGUUUGUCUGGGGGAGGAUGGUGCAGUGGUUAGAGCAGCAGCUGUGUGGCUCCGAAAACCCCACCUCAAUCCCCUGCUUUGCUACAGCCUCCCUGUGGGCCCUUGAUCCAGUAAUGUAGCCUCUCUGUGCCUCAGUUCCCCUUCUGUACAAUGGGGAUAGCAACACUGCCUUGCCACAGGGGUGGGGGCUGGGGAAUUCAUAGAACUGGAAGGGAUCUUGAGAGGUCGUCUAGUCCUGUCCCCUGCAUGAGAGACUGUGAGGUGCUGAGGCACAUGUUAGUCUCUUAAAUAAAUAGAUAAAAUGCCUUGGUUUUAAACAACCACUUGCCUACCUGUGUUACUAAGAGCUCUUUCUUUAAUUAUAACUGACCCAGGGCCAGCCCCAUAGCUAGUGUGCAGCAGUGUCACACCCGUUAUGCCAGCUAAGGAGCUCUCCCUUCAUUUCUGAAAAUCCCAAUUUACUUUUCAGUUUUGAUGCUCCUUGGGGCCAGAGUGGGGGGGCUUACCAGUUCCCCUGCACAGUUUGGGGUCCAGAGGGUGCUGGGGGAGGAGUGGCCCCAGCUGGGCCCCAUUCUUAACAGAAAGUUGGGCAUGGAGUUUAAAGAUCUGUCUAGAUACCUCUAUCCAACAGACCAAGACCCUCAAAUGGUAUUUAGGCUCCUAACUUCUACUGCAAUGGUCCCCAAAGGUUUGAAGUCACGCCCCACUUACCCCAAUGUAAUCUGCCUACACCUCCUGGGAGCCAUGGUCGGGGGCUGGGAUGGGGCUGCGGCCGGAGUUUAGGAAACAGACAAGGGAGCAGUGGUCAGAGUCUAGCUCAGAACAGAGGUUUCCUGGGGUCAGACAGGUGCAUUUCGUAAGUUACCUGAGACAGGGAAUCAGCAAGGCUAUGGGAAGCAGGACACCUCAUUUGCACUAUGGGACUCAGUUCAUGUUUGCCAGCCACUGAUCAGGGUUUAAAGCCAUUUUCACUUCUCUGUGAUGAGGCCGCGGCAAUCGGGAGGAGAGGGUUACUUCUAGGGUGACGUUCUGGGCCACUUACAGCUGAUCGGCACCUCAAGUGCUUGGAAACGACUGGCAAGCCAAGACAAAACGGAAAAGGCUGGGCCUGCACCCUCCACAGGGAGCGACCCGCGGAACAGAAGGAAGGUGCAGCAAUCCCAGAACCACACUGGGCAGGGCACACACCUACGCAGCCGGCUGGCCGCCUCACACUGCAGGCAAGGAGCCCGGCCCUGUGCCGCACACACUUGUUCAGUGUCCAAGGGGCCUCCUCCACUCCUCACUGUGAGGGGGGCCCCCGGUUUAAUCUGGGGGUGUGCACCGUGGCUGCCUGGACCGUUAACAUCAAGAUGCAGCCAGCGGAGAUUACUCUGCGUACAGCCUCCACCAGGAUCCAAGCCGCUAGCUCUGCAUGAAACGGGAUGGCAACAGCCCUCAGCUCCCGAGGAUGCCUCUGGGGUCCUGCCCUUUCCUUGAUGGCCUAUGGGCCCCUUCAGUACAGAGCAGGGCAGAGCUGGGCGCAUGAGAGGGCUGGCUGAGUGCCACAGCUCCAAUGGGAAGGCAAAGGAGGAACCUCCCCCUCCGUUUUCCGAUGCUGAUGGAACCUGCAACGCAUCCGGAUACAGCCCCGUUCACACACCCAGCGGCCGGGAAGAGUCAGACAGACAGACAGACAUGCUGCCACCUGCAGGACAGAGAGGGCUCUGCGAGCCGGGCUUGUCACCAGUAGCAAAAGGCUCAGAAACCGACAGCCACUUGAACGCUUCCCCCGACCGCAAAUCAGCCGAUUACGUCACAGAAAGGCCUAGAAGAAAUCUUGCAAAAUAUGCAGCUAAAGUUGAGAGGGUGGAGGUGUUUUCACAGCUAGUUUAGCUACAAACUAAGGCCCAGUCCUCCAAGGUGUUUAGGCACCUAGAGUCCAUUGAAAUCAAUGGACAUUAGGAACCUAAAUCCUUUUGAGGGCCUGGGCCUGAACCGCCUGCCAAGCAAUUCCAGACCGUCCUGCCUAUGGAAGACAGAGGGAGAGAGUUAAAGUUAACCAAGUUACCGCCACUGGGCAUCGCUGGACACUGGAGGGCUUAGCCCUGCCACGUGACAUGGAGGGGUGUUUUUUGGAGGUCCCAUAGCUCAGCACUCAAAGGGAUUUCAGCUCCUCCCUUCUGCUAAUUUCAAUAGAACAGAGGCCCCCAAACGGCGGGGACGCCCCUCGCAGGACAGUGUGCAGGAACAUUUGGAGGGGCGGCAAGGCCAGGCCCCAUGGGUGGUGGGGGAAAGUUCCACCCAGCCCCACUCUGCCCCCCAGCUCCUGGCCCCCAAGUUGGCCAUGUCCCCCGGAUGUGACUUGACCCCAGCUGCAGUCACACCUCUGGCCCUGGCCACGGUUCUGCCCCCUGCUCCAACCACAGCUGGGUGUCUGCGUGGAUGAGCUCUCGCUGGACGUGCCUCUCCAGUGAAUCCAAUCAAUGUAGCUGCAGGCUCCUCGCACCGCUGCGGUUUCGAGUGGCGUGGAAGCAACGCUGCUAGCUCUGGGCCAUGGCUGCGUCGGCUCCUACGUGCAACUUUGA